GUGCUUCGGCACUGGCGAACUGCUCAGUAACACGUGGACACUCUGCCCUCGGGAGGGGGAUAACCCCGGGAAACUGGGAAUAAACCCCCAUAGACCAUGGAUGCUGGAAUGCUUCAUGGUCGAAAUUCCGAAAGGAGCCCGAGGAUGAGUCUGCGGCCUAUCAGGUAGUAGUGAGGGUAACGGCCUCACUAGCCUACGACGGGUACGGGCCUUGAGAGAGGGAGCCCGGAGAUGGACUCUGAGACAUGAGUCCAGGCCCUACGGGGCGCAGCAGGCGCGAAAACUCCGCAAUGCUCGAAAGAGCGACGGGGGGACUCCGAGUGCCUACACUCAGUGUAGGCUUUUCCCAAGCCUAAAAAGCUUGGGGAAUAAGGGCUGGGUAAGACGGGUGCCAGCCGCCGCGGUAAUACCCGCAGCCCGAGUGGUGGCCGCGUCUAUUGGGCUUAAAGCGUCCGUAGCCGGUCUAGUAAAUGCCUAGGUAAAUCGUCUGGCUUAACCAGACGAAUUCUGGGUAGACUGCUAGACUAGGGACCGGGGGAGGGAGAGGGUACUCCGGGGGUAGGGGUGAAAUCCUGUAAUCCUCGGAGGACCACCAGUGGAGAAGUCGCUCUCCUAGAACGGGUCCGACGGUGAGGGACGAAAGCCAGGGGAGCAAACGGGAUUAGAUACCCCGGUAGUCCUGGCCGUAAACGAUGUGGACUUGACAUUGGGAUGGCUAUGAGCCACCCCAGUGUCGGAGGGAAACCGUUA
rnacentral:rRNA from 1 species